UACGGAGGGUGCAAGCGUUAUCCGGAUUCACUGGGUUUAAAGGGUGCGUAGGUGGAGUGGUAAGUCAGUGGUGAAAUCUCCAAGCUUAACUUGGAACUGCCGUUGAUACUAUCAUUCUUGAAUAUCGUGGAGGUAAGCGGAAUAUGUCAUGUAGCGGUGAAAUGCUUAGAUAUGACAUAGAACACCGAUUGCGAAGGCAGCUUGCUACACGAUCAUUGACACUGAGGCACGAAAAGCGUGGGGAUCAAACAGG
rnacentral:rRNA from 1 species